GGCCUGGCCGGAUGGUCCACCUAACGGUGUUGUACUGUCUGGCCGGGCCUUACCUCUUGGUGAGCCGGCGUGCCCUUUACUGGGUGCGUCGGGGAACCAGGACUUUUACCUUGAGAAAAUUAGAGUGUUUAAAGCAAGUGAAUAACAGCCUGAAUACAUUAGCAUGGAAUAAUAGAAUAG
rnacentral:rRNA from 1 species